UGUGCCCCAGUUCAUGGGGUCACAAAGAGUCUGACAAAACUGAAUGACUAACAUUUAUCUUAAUCUUAAAUUAAGAUUUAAAUGCUUUUCUCUGUGUGAAUGGUUAUCACAUCCAUUUUUAGACCCUAAUAUUUUGCCUACAUAGACCCAUAUACUAUACUGUAUGACAUUUUGUUGUGAAUAUUCCCAUCAUCUCAAAUUUACCUUGCCCAAAUCAGAAUAACUUAUCUUUUUUCUAAAGUCAGAGUGACUUACAGAUUUUCUGUUCUUCUAGAGGUGUUAACAUUUCUUGGUUUCUUUAUUGUCAUUGAUUCUAUCUUCAUUGUUGAUUAUAAACUAGGAAAUAAACCAAUCUUGAUUUUUUUCCCUCCUAACUCCCCUAUUUUUAGUGAUAAAUAUCUGUUGAUCUCUUAAAUAUGUCCCAUCUUUUUCAUUCUACAUUUUCUUUUUUAUUACCUACUCUAAUAUCCAUAUAUUUUGAAGCUUUGAAAUUUGAAGUCAAAAUUGGGAUAGAAAUCGUUUUCCCUGUGUUUAGAAGCUUUAGGGGGAAACUGCUAUUAAACACAGUGUGCACACACUUGUAUUCAUCUAUCACAUAUGUGAUAUAUACAGUUGACCUUGAACAAGGUGUGAAUUAGGGGCACUGAAAAUCCAUAGUUGGCCUCCUGUAUCCCCAAUUCCACCAAAUCCAGGAUUCUUCCACAGCCACAGAUUCAUCCAAUCUUGGAUCAUGUGUAGUACUGUAGUAUUUACUGUUGAAAAAAAAAAUCCGAAGAUGGUGGCGGCGGCCCGCUUGGGCUGGGGAGCUGCUGCCUCGGGGCUGCGGAGGCAAUUCUGUCAUGUGACGGAUCCAUAUACAAUUAAGAAACAGCUUCUGCAUCAGUUUGUCCAAAGACCGCUUUUCCCACUCCCUGCAACCUUAUGUAACACAGUGAGAUACGUUUAUUCAAACACAAGAUACCCCAAAUCCCAACAGUUUAAAGUUUAUUCCAGGAAAACCAGUUCUUGAGACAAGAACCAUGGAUUUUCCCACACCAGCUACGGCAUUUCCCUCCCCUCUGGCUAGGCAGUUAUUUAGGAUUGAGGGAGUAAAAAAUGUCUUUUUUGGACCAGAUUUCAUCACUGUCACAAAGGAGAAUGAAGAAUUAGACUGGAAUUUACUGAAACCAGAUAUCUAUGCUACUAUUAUGGAUUUCUUUGCAUCUGGCUUACCUUUAGUUACUGAGGAAACACCUUCAGGAGAAGCAGGACCUGAAGAUGAUGAUGAAGUUGUGGCAAUGAUUAAGGGAUUGUUAGAUACUAGAAUACGGCCAACUGUGCAGGAAGAUGGAGAUGUAAUCUAUAAAGGCUUUGAAGAUGGCAUCGUACAGCUGAAACUCCAAGGUUCUUAUACCAGCUGCCCCAGUUCAAUCAUUACUCUGAAAAAUGGAAUUCAGAACAUGCUGCAGUUUUAUAUUCCAGAAGUAGAAGGCGUAGAACAGGUUAUGGAUGAUGAAUCAGAUGAAAAAGAAGCAAACUCACCUUAAACUCAUUUGAGUUUUCUGUGGGCCCAUCAUAUGUACUAAGCUUUUAUUAUUAAUCUGCUAAGCAAUUUAGGAUUAAUGUCCCUUCUUCAAAGAAUGA